CUUGGGGUUAUGGCCUACAGGCGACGACGGGUAGCCGGCCUGAGAGGGCGACCGGCCACACUGGGACUGAGACACGGCCCAGACUCCUACGGGAGGCAGCAGUGGGGAAUAUUGCACAAUGGGCGAAAGCCUGAUGCAGCGACGCCGCGUGAGGGAUGACGGCCUUCGGGUUGUAAACCUCUUUCAGCAGGGACGAAGCGAAAGUGACGGUACCUGCAGAAGAAGCACCGGCCAACUACGUGCCACCAGCCGCGGCCGGGGACUCUAAAGUACCGUUUUGGGCUUGGAAAAUAAAAAUAAUUUUAAAGGGAGGGGCUCUUUCCUCGGGGCCUUUCCUGAGCUGCGUCCUUGUGAAAUUCCACGCUGCUCGCCUAGGAGUUGGGCGGGUUUUGGGCCAUGGUGGGCUUUCCUCUAAGCCGCUUACCUUUUUUUUCUUUGGGGGGGCCUUGCCCCCCCACGGGUUUAAAAGCCCCGGGGCUUUCCCA
rnacentral:rRNA from 1 species